rnacentral:rRNA from 1 species
UACAGAGGGUGCGAGCGUUGUCCGGAAUCACUGGGCGUAAAGGGAGCGUAGGCGGGUUAUCAAGUUGGAGGUGAAAGCCCAGGGCUCAACCUUGGAAUUGCCUUCAAAACUGAUAACCUAGAGGAUGAUAGAGGUAAGUGGAACUCCGAGUGUAGAGGUGAAAUUCGUAGAUAUUCGGAAGAACACCAGUGGCGAAGGCGACUUACUGGAUCAUUAACUGACGCUGGGAGUCAACGA